UCAUGAAACCCUAAUUUCCUCCUUCGUGCGCCGGCACAACAAACACCUUCGCAAGCCAUUCUUUGGAUGCCCUUCUUCUCUUGUAGUGCUGGAUUCAUUGUUAGUACUUUGCUGGAUAAGCUGCACCAUCGACGGGAGUUUUGCUUGUCGUCAAUGUCUUAAUUUGCCGCCUAAGAGCUUUCGCCACGCCAGGCUUGAGAGCUUGUGCUGCUCAAUUCUUCCUUGGAUGGCUGAGGGAAUUAUUUUCGGAAUUUAUGUUUUUACCGAUCUUUAGUGACUUGCUUUUAUUUGAGAUUUUUCGAUGCUUUUUUUUUGUUAUUAUUAUCAUACUUCUUCGUUCUUUCGGUGAUGACACUUCUAAGGCUUGUUUCUCAAAACAUUCGCAGUAGCCGCCUGAGAGCUUUCGCUUCGCCUAGCUUGAGAGCAAAUGCUGCUUAAAUUUCCUUCCUUGGAUGUCUGAGACGAUCAAUAUAAUUUCUCGUUCUCUCGGUUUGAAAUAUCAAGUUAGGAUUUGAUUUGUUAUUGUGUUAUGCUGGUCUAAUUAGUCGAUGGAAUCUUUGAUUUGGUAUUUGUACGUUGGCGCUCGUCUUGAUUUUGUGAUAUAUUGAUUAUCUGAUUUAUUAAUUGGAUCAUCGAUUCCUAUACUUAAGGUUCGUCAAUUUUUGAUCUGUCUCUUGCUAAGUUAGAAUUGUUUUAUUUCAAUAUUGUAUAGUUUUAAAAAAUAUGUUUUUACUUCCAAUGAUGACAAAUUCUAAGGCCUGUUUCUCAAAACAUUCGCAGUGGCCGCCUAAGUGCUUUCGCCUUGCCAGGCUCGAGAGCUUAUGCUGCUUAAUUCUUCCUUGGAUGUCUGAGGUUUUUGUUAUCCUUGAUUGUCUCGAGGGGAAAACAAAAGUUCGCUUUUAGUUUCGUAUGUAAAUUUCUGUUUAUUUGGUUCUAUGGAUUUAUCGUUGAUAUACUGCGUUGUUUUCAAUAAAUAAAUCAUUAAUACGGCAACUUUCGUAUCAGAGACAUAUUUCCAUUGCAAGGAAACAACAGUCAAUGGAUUGCAUGUACUCGAUCUGAUUGCAAUGUUUCCUUUUGUUUCAAUGUUCUUCAGAAGUGCCUUUGAGUCUCGAGAUAAAAUAAGACAAUUGAAUCUUCGAAAUGAUAGUGGAUGUCGUAGCAGACUUCGAUGGCAUGAUCCAGGAAUCAAAUGUUUCUUUUUGUUGCAUGGACAGGUUUUUGCUCUUAUUGUGAUAUGUGCAACGAUGCCCUGUUUCCGUGCUCAUGUUGGCUUUGAGCUCUUAAUCGUUAUCAAAUUUAGUGUUUCUCCUUUUUUAAAGCACAUCUUGUGCCAAUUUAGAAAUCGAAGAAAAUGAACUAAAUUUGAUUUUAAUUACCUGCAUGUCUCCCUAUGUAACUCGCAAUUCAAUUCGAUAUUAAAUUACAGUAUAUAAAUAAACAA